UGCCAUCAAAAAGCUCUUUAUUUUUAACUGAUCGUAUUCUAACGUCUAUUCUGCCAGACAGACGGGUGACACAUCGCUAAAGUAAUUGCUGAACUUCAACUUGUCCCCUGUCACCGAGAGAGAGGUUUUUGAAACCUGUAGCUAAUGCCACUCAUUAUAGGAGAGAGUAGGCCUUGAUAAUGCAUGCUAAUGUUCUGAGCCCUGGAUUUUACCACUUGCCUGAAUUCUAUCCCUGGGGGUAUAACCUUUCUAAUCCUCUUUAGUAAAUGUAUUGGUGAUCUUUAGUAAGCAAAAUAAACAGGGCAGUCAUCAACAAAGAAAGGUCAGGCUUCCUCAGUUACUCUUUGACCUUUAGGGUCACGGCCUUUGUUCCCUUCUCAAUAGGAGUUGCUCUCAAAGGGGCAUCUCCAAAUAGAGAACUAAUUUCGGCACGAGCAUUCACAGAAUCGCUGAGUGUCCGAUUUAAUGAAGCAGAACGUUUUUCCCCCCUCUGUUAAAGUUUCUAAU